rnacentral:rRNA from 1 species
CGUAGGUGGCGAGCGUUGUCCGGAAUUACUGGGCGUAAAGGGCGCGUAGGCGGCUCUUUAAGUCAGAUGUGAAAACCCAGGGCUUAACUUUGGGAGUGCAUUUGAAACUGAAGGGCUCGAGUGCAGGAGAGGUAAGUGGAAUUCCUAGUGUAGCGGUGAAAUGCGUAGAUAUUAGGAGGAACACCAGUGGCGAAGGCGACUUACUGGACUGUAACUGACGCUGAGGCGCGAAAGCGUGGGGAGCAAACAGGAUUAGAUACCCUGGUAGUCCACGCUGUAAACGAUGGAUACUAGGUGUGGGAGGUAUCGACCCCUUCCGUGCCGCAGUUAACGCAAUAAGUAUCCCGCCUGGGGAGUACGGCCGCAAGGUUG